rnacentral:tmRNA from 1 species
GGGGGCGACCUGGUUUCGACAGGGGUUUUGAAGCGGCUGGGGCAUGUCGAGGGCCCAUAACCUCGUUAAUCAGUGGGAAAAAGUAACUGCAAACGACAAUACGUUCGCACUGGCAGCCUAACGGAAGCCGUUCUCUAUUUAGUUCACUGACGGGCUAAUGUCGAAAGACCGGUAGAGUUAUAGUACCGAAUGAGAUCAUAUAACGUCAGUUAAGCCUUUAGUGACGGUGUCGCGACGUCCGAGGUCGAAAUUCUAGCGAAUCACUUUUGCUAAGCAUGUUCGUCUGCGUAGCUUAGGUUAGAUUAAAUGACGGAACUAAGCAUGUAGAUCUGGUCACAGAUCACUUCUGGACGCGGGUUCGAUUCCCGCCGCCUCCACUA